rnacentral:rRNA from 1 species
UUUGAAAUCCGGCCCCCGGGGCCCGAGUUGUAAUUUGCAGAGGAUGCUUCGGGCGAGGCGCCUUCCGAGUUCCCUGGAACGGGACGCCACAGAGGGUGAGAGCCCCGUCUGGUCGGACGCCGAGCCCGCGUGAAGCUCCUUCGACGAGUCGAGUAGUUUGGGAAUGCUGCUCAAAACGGGAGGUAUAUGUCUUCUAAAGCUAAAUACCGGCCAGAGACCGAUAGCGCACAAGUAGAGUGAUCGAAAGAUGAAAAGCACUUUGAAAAGAGGGUUAAAAAGUACGUGAAAUUGUUGAAAGGGAAGCGCCCGCGACCAGACUUGGGCCCGGCGGAUCACCCGGCGUUCUCGCCGGCGCACUCCGCCGGGCACAGGCCAGCAUCGGUCCGGCGCGGGGGACAAAGGCUCUGGGAACGUGGCUCCCCCGGGAGUGUUAUAGCCCACCGCGCAAUGCCCUGCGCCGGACCGAGGAACGCGCACCGCAAGGAUGCUGGCGUAAUGGUCGUCGGCGACCCGUCUUGAAACACGGACCAAGGAGUCGUCUUCGUAUGCGAGUGUUCGGGUGUCAAACCCCUACGCGGAAUGAAAGUGAACGCAGGUGAGAGCCUCGGCGCAUCAUCGACCGAUCCUGAUGUCCUCGGAUGGAUUUGAGUAGGAGCAUACGGGGCCGGACCCGAAAGAAGGUGAACUAUGCCUGCGUAGGGUGAAGCCAGAGGAAACUCUGGUGGAGGCUCGCAGCGGUUCUGACGUGCGAAUCGAUCGUCAAACGUGGGCAUGGGGGCGAAAGACUAAUCGAACCUUCUAGUAGCUGGUUUC